rfam:Albugo candida, Ac Nc2, WGS project CAIX01000000 data, contig: AcNc2_CONTIG_426_length_20391
CCGAGUGUAGCUCAGUUGGUAGAGCGAUUGACUGUAGUAUACACCGAUAUCAAUUGGUCGCUGGUUCGAUUCCGGCCACUCGGA